rnacentral:tRNA from 1 species
ACCUGGCUGGCUCAGUCGGAAGAGCAUGGGACUUUUAAUCUUGGGGUUUUGGGUUUGAGUCCCCUGUUGGGCG